rnacentral:rRNA from 1 species
AACGAACGCUGGCGGCAUGCCUAACACAUGCAAGUCGAACGAGACCUUCGGGUCUAGUGGCGCACGGGUGCGUAACGCGUGGGAACCUGCCCUUAGGUUCGGAAUAACUCCCCGAAAGGGGUGCUAAUACCGGAUAAUGUCUUCGGACCAAAGAUUUAUCGCCUUUGGAUGGGCCCGCGUUGGAUUAGCUAGUUGGUAGGGUAAAAGCCUACCAAGGCGACGAUCCAUAGCUGGUCUGAGAGGAUGAUCAGCCACACUGGGACUGGGACCCGGCCCAGAAUCCUACGGGAGGCAGCAGUGGGGAAUAUUGGACAAUGGGCGAAAGCCUGAUCCAGCAAUGCCGCGUGAGUGAUGAAGGCCUUAGGGUUGUAAAGCUCUUUUACCCGGGAUGAUAAUGACAGUACCGGGAGAAUAAGCUCCGGCUAACUCCGUG